rnacentral:rRNA from 1 species
UACGAAGGGGGCUAGCGUUGUUCGGAAUUACUGGGCGUAAAGCGCGCGCAGGCGGCCAUUCAAGUCAGGGGUGAAAGCCCAGAGCUCAACUCUGGAACUGCCCUUGAAACUGUAUGGCUUGAGUACGAGAGAGGUGAGUGGAAUUCCCAGUGUAGAGGUGAAAUUCGUAGAUAUUGGGAAGAACACCGGUGGCGAAGGCGGCUCACUGGCUCGUUACUGACGCUCAGGCGCGACAGCGUGGGGAUCAAACAGG